rnacentral:rRNA from 1 species
UACGUAGGGUGCAAGCGUUGUCCGGAAUUAUUGGGCGUAAAGAGCUCGUAGGCGGUUUGUCGCGUCUGCUGUGAAAACUCGGGGCUUAACCCCGGGCCUGCAGUGGGUACGGGCAGACUAGAGUGCGGUAGGGGAGACUGGAAUUCCCAGUGUAGCGGUGAAAUGCGUAGAUAUUGGGAAGAACACCUGAGGCGAAGGCGGGUUGCUGGGCCGACACUGACGCUGAGGCGCGAAAGCCAGGGGAGCAAACGGG